GAUGAACGCUAGCGACAGGCUUUAACACAUGCAAGUCGAGGGGCAGCGGGGGCGAAAGCUUGCUUUCGCCUGCCGGCGACCGGCGCACGGGUGAGUAAACACGUAUGCAACCUGCCCACCGCAGGGGGAUAAGCCGGAGAAAUCCGGUCUAAUACCGCGUAACAUCCCCGGGAGACAUCUUCCGGGGAUCAAAGGAAGCGAUUCCGGCGGUGGAUGGGCAUGCGGCGCAUUAGCUAGUCGGCGGGGUAACGGCCCACCGAGGCGACGAUGCGUAGGGGUUCUGAGAGGAAGGUCCCCCACACUGGUACUGAGACACGGACCAGACUCCUACGGGAGGCAGCAGUGAGGAAUAUUGGUCAAUGGGCGGAAGCCUGAAACCAGCCAAGUCGCGUGAGGGAAGACGGUCCUAAUGGAUUGUAAAACCUCUUUUGUCAGGGAGCAAAUAAGGGAACGCGUUCCCGUGUGAGAGUACCUGAAGAAAAAGC
rnacentral:rRNA from 1 species